UACGUAGGGGGCAAGCGUUGUCCGGAAUCAUUGGGCGUAAAGCGCGCGUAGGCGGCCCGGUAAGUCCGUUGUGAAAGUCAAAGGCUCAACCUUUGAACGCCGAUGGAUACUGCCGGGCUAGAGUCCGGAAGAGGCGAGUGGAAUUCCUGGUGUAGCGGUGAAAUGCGCAGAUAUCAGGAAGAACACCCGUGGCGAAGGCGGUUCUCUGGGACGGUACUGACGCUGAGACGCGAAAGCGUGGGGAGCGAACAGG
rnacentral:rRNA from 1 species